GUGGGGAAUAUUGGACAAUGGGGGGAACCCUGAUCCAGCCAUGACGCGUGUGUGAAGAAGGCCUUUUGGUUGUAAAGCACUUUAAGCGAGGAGGAGGCUACCGAGAUUAAUACUCUUGGAUAGUGGACGUUACUCGCAGAAUAAGCACCGGCUAACUCUGUGCCAGCAGCCGCGGUAAUACAGAGGGUGCAAGCGUUAAUCGGAUUUACUGGGCGUAAAGCGCGCGUAGGUGGCCAAUUAAGUCAAAUGUGAAAUCCCCGAGCUUAACUUGGGAAUUGCAUUCGAUACUGGUUGGCUAGAGUAUGGGAGAGGAUGGUAGAAUUCCAGGUGUAGCGGUGAAAUGCGUAGAGAUCUGGAGGAAUACCGAUGGCGAAGGCAGCCAUCUGGCCUAAUACUGACACUGAGGUGCGAAAGCAUGGGGAGCAAACAGGAUUAGAAACCCCGGUAGUCC
rnacentral:rRNA from 1 species